UGUACCCCCGCGGUCGAUCUAAGCAUAUCAAUAAGCGGAGGAAAAGAAACCAACAGGGAUUGCCCUAGUAACGGCGAGUGAAGCGGCAACAGCUCAAAUUUGAAAUCUGGCUCCUUUGGGGUCCGAGUUGUAAUUUGCAGAGGGAGCUUUUGGCGUCGGUCGUGGUCUAAGUUCCUUGGAACAGGACGUCACAGAGGGUGAGAAUCCCGUACGUGGCCGCCGGCCUUCGCCUUGUAAAGCCCCUUCGACGAGUCGAGUUGUUUGGGAAUGCAGCUCUAAAUGGGAGGUAAAUUUCUUCUAAAGCUAAAUACCCGCCAGAGACCGAUAGCGCACAAGUAGAGUGAUCGAAAGAUGAAAAGCACUUUGGAAAGAGAGUGAAAAAGCACGUGAAAUUGUUGAAAGGGAAGCGCUUGCGGCCAGACGUGCCCGCGGUUGAUCAUCCAGGCUCCAGCCUGGUGCACUCCUCCGCGGGCAGGCCAGCAUCAGUUCGGGCGGUCGGAUAAAGGCCUCUAUCACGUACCACCCCUCGGGGUGGCCUUAUAGGGGAGGCGCAACACGGCCAGCCCGGACUGAGGUUCCGCGCAUCUGCUAGGAUGCUGGCGUAAUGGCAGCAAGCGGCCCGUCUUGAAACACGGACCAAGGAGUCUAACAUCUAUGCGAGUGUUUGGGUGUCAAGCCCGAGCGCGCAAUGAAAGUGAACGGAGGUGGGAACCCUUACCGGUGCACCAUCGACCGAUCCUGAUGUCUUCGGAUGGAUUUGAGUAAGAGCAUAGCUGUUGGGACCCGAAAGAUGGUGAACUAUGCCUGAAUAGGGUGAAGCCAGAGGAAACUCUGGUGGAGGCUCGCAGCGGUUCUGACGUGCAAAUCGAUCGUCAAAUUUGGGCAUAGGGGCGAAAGACUAAUCGAACCAUCUAGUAGCUGGUUCCUGCCGAAGUUCCCCUCAGGAUAUGA
rnacentral:rRNA from 1 species